UAGUAAAUGCUGUCAGACAGCAUUACACUGAGGAACCAUGAGUGUUCUGGUAACCCAGGGCGCUAUCAGCUAGCGGUUCAUCCCACUUAGCUUGUUUUAACAUUAAACAUGCAGACUACAGUCCAACAUACUCCCCUCUGAAUGGCGAAAGAGCUAGCAGUGCGGUUAGCGGCUAAUGCUAAUACUUCUGAAACUCCUGUAUUUUAAGUGCACCUUAUAGUGCGAAAAAUACGAUAAUUAUAUUAAUAUUAUAUUAAAACCUCUGAAGCUAUAAACAAUGUAUAAAUGAGAAGUACUAUUGAAAAACACAGAAAUCUAGCUAUUGUGGAUUUUUAAUAACCUAGAAUAUUUAAAGUAUUUAAAGAGUUAAGCUCUACACCUUUUUUAUUUGAUAUAUUGACUUAAAUGUGCUCUGCCAAACUGUUAAGCAGAAUUUAAGGGGUUAAACAAGUUUAAACAGGUAUUCAAGCAUUAAUUUGCUGAUUAGAUUUUGUGUGACUAUUGAUUUCUAGUCUAUUAGCAUUAGCUUCAUUGGCAUCUUAGCUCCAAUACUAAUGUAAACAAAGCAAUAGGCUAAUAGGCUAACUGCCUACUGGACACCAAACACGUCCUACAGGCUGAUUGACUGUAUAUUAGAUGAGGACAUGAGGACUAUUUGAAGGUUCAAGCAACUAUUUAUUAAGAGGAUUCUGGGGGUUGUUGUUUUUUUAGCAGUGAGAGUUUUUAGCCUGUGUUUGAAAGCAGCAGCAGCAGGAGCUCCUGGGCUAGCUACCCGCGCUAAUGCUACAGAAUGAUUGAUAAUAUGAAGCCUUUUUAAGCUGGAGUGAAGUGUGGUCAAGCUUUUCCUCAGGCUGAUCUGAGGUUUUGAUUAUACCCUGUGAUCUGCACCCUGAAGGCUGUGGGCUUUACAGGUCAGAAACUGCAUGAUGAUUAUUAUAACUUAAGCCUGUUUGCUUGGGGACGCCUAUUUUUAUUUUUUUUCUGUAUAUUUUUUGUUCAUUCAGUCAUUCCUUAGAGGUCAGAGAAGUCUUAACCCUUUCAGACCCUGCAUCCGUUACAACAGACAUCAUGUAUUUUCUUUAUUUUUAAAUUAUUUGAUGCACAUAAUACUAUUUAAGAGCUGUUGUCCAUCAGAAUAGACCAGGAACCAGCCGAUAAACAUGAAUUGAUAAACAUUGAACAGUAGCUUGGCCCCACCCACUGCACUCGAAAAACAGUAGUACUAGAGCCAUUUAGGAAAAGUAACAUUUUUACUAAUUUAAUUUGAUCUAGAACACUUUUAAUCAAGUUUUUUACUGUUUAGGGAUGAAAAUAGGAAAUAAAAAUGUCAAUAUGAAAUAUUAAAUAUUACACACAGGCCUCCAAUUAAAUGGAAAUUAAGUUAAUUGGAUUUAUUUGCUAUAUAUAUAUUUUAUUGUAGAAUAUUAGAGUCUUCUUUUCUGUGAUUUACAGACAGAAAACAGCAUUCUUGCUCUUUUUGUUCCAUCACUGGAGAUAAUUUAGGUCUGAAAGGGUUAAUGCUUCCUACUGAAAACCCUCUUCAAAAUAAAGGUCCUGAAAAGAGCUUCUUUGCAGCGAUGUCAUAGAAGAACCACUUUUGGUUCCAAUAAGAACUUUCUAAAUAUUAAGGGAGAAUUGAUUUUUCAAAAUGUCUGCAUAUUACGAUCACUAAAAAAGUAGGGCUGGACAUAUAAAGGAAAAAUAUUAAAAUAUUAAUAUAGAAACAACAAACAGAUUUUUAGAUUUUUUAGUUCUCAAAAAACUGCUGUUCUUCAUCCAAUUAAACAGGACCAGUUACAGUUUUUAAGUACUUAAGCUUUUAGGUACUGGGGAUAAAUAACCACAAUAUGCUCCAAAAAAGUGUAUUGUGUAGCCUCAUAACAAAACUAAGUGUAUUACAAUCCCUAACUGAAUGCAUUCAACUUUUGUAUUGAUUUAGUGGAAAAUUGUAAAGAAAUGUUCUUAAAAAAAUUUAACAGCAGUGGUAAACAAGGGGUUUAAAUGUCUACAACAGAAAUACGGCCGUAGUAUUAAUUAAGAAAACAUCUCCUGCCUAUUGAGUGCUUAUAUGUAAUGUAUGUUUUAACAAUAAAAUUAUGGCAAAUUUGACAAAAAGUUAACAAAACAGACAAUUUAACAACCAUUUGCAUGGACCUUUCUACCUUUCUGAAUGUAAUGAUUCCCCCAAGCAAUGAUUUACAGAGUCCAAGCACAUAUUAGCCCAGUUAGGCUGUGUUCAGUUACAAACUAUAUGUAACUGUGAGAUGUAACAGCAUCUGACAUCAUCAUAAAUAAGUGCAUUUGUGCAUAUUUAAUGUAAUAACACCUUUUUUUUUUUGUAACGUUGCUUCUAAUGUAGGCCUUAUUCAAUGCAUCAGACAUCUGAUUUCUUUAAUUCCCAUCACCAGUAACUGUAAUUUUAGGUUUAUCAGGAAGUUGUAUUUCACACUAAACCAAUCAAAUCUAAUGUUUUGAGUAAUAUUUAAGAGAGUCUGACUUUGUGUAUAUCGAGUCGAUUACGCCAUGCAGGAAUUUUGAAAGAUUGUUGGAUUUUUAAAGAUUUUCCUUUCAGGCUUUCCUUGAAUUGUACAUCCAAUCCGAGAAACACUUGGAAACCUUGAUUUUUAACAAAGUGCAGGUCACAGGUUUCUCACGUGCACAUUUAGUGUGAUUUCUUUCAUUUUGUUGCGGUUUUAGCAGUUUAAGAUCCGUAUUUAUUUGCAUUUGCUACGUGUUUGUUGGGCGGCGGGGGGUUAAUUUAUUGAGCUGGUGCACAUAUUUAUUUAUUUAUUGACUCGAAGAGGACUGUGUCAUGUUGUUUUGAGAUGUUUAUUUGAUUGCGAUCAAAUAGGAAAGAGCAGGGAGAACACGGGAGUCGCUUCCGAACGGCAGGGUUUGACCGUCAUUGUCCUGUUUUUUUUUUUUUGUUUUGUUUUUUUUUCUUGGCCGGCAGAUGAAUUGGAGCUGUUUGUUUGUUUUCUGCCGAGACUGCGGAGAUCUUUGUCACGAACGGCGAGCCUGCCCACUGCUGGUUGGCACAACUCUGGUGAUGUUACAGCUGGCAGAGAAAUAAAAGAGUAAAAGGGUUUUUUGGCCUCAGAGAACCGAAGCUGUGCUGGCCCGACUCGCCCUCGUGUCCGUGCUCCUCCGCUGGGGGUGUGAACCUCUGAUUCGAGUGGAUUGUGAUUGAGUGCGUUAUGGAAUCUCACAUUUCACCAAGCUUCAAUUUUAUUUGUACAAUUUGGAAAUAUUUAUAAAAAUACACUGAAUAUACAAAUGUACAUGAAGGGACUGUUUCCACAGCCGAGAAAUAAGACAAUAAAAAUGACAUACUGAAAAAGA